rnacentral:tRNA from 1 species
UCCGGGGUCGUCUAAUUGGUAGGACACCAGCCUUUGGAGCUGGCUAUCCUGGUUCGAGUCCAGGCCCCGGAGCCA